rnacentral:ncRNA from 19 species
CUAUCUUUGUCGCGCAUUGGUUUGCGACUCCCAUGCGGGGGAAGCAAUUAAAAGGGAAUCAGGUGUAAAUCCUGAACAGUCCCGCUGCUGUAAGUUCCAUGCAUGUUACAAGCAAUUCACUCAUUGCCACUGGAGACUAAUCUGGGAAGGCGUUUGUAACAGGAAUAAGUCAGAAGACCUACCAUGCAAUUAUGUUUCACU